rnacentral:rRNA from 1 species
UACGUAGGGUGCAAGCGUUUGUCCGGAAUUAUUGGGCGUAAAGAGCUCGUAGGCGGUUUGUUGCGUCGGCUGUGAAAUCCCGAGGCUCAACCUCGGGUCUGCAGUCGAUACGAGCAAACUAGAGUGUUGCAGGGGGAGACUGGAAUUCCUGGUGUAGCGGUGAAAUGCGCAGAUAUCAGGAGGAACACCGGUGGCGAAGGCGGGUCUCUGGGCCGAUACUGACGCUGGAGGAGCG